rnacentral:rRNA from 1 species
AACGCACCUUGCGCUCUUUGGUAUUCCAAAGAGCAUGCCUGUUUGAGUGUCAUUUAAUUAUCAAGCCUAUUAUUAAUUAUUAGGAUUGGACUUGGGAUUUGCUGGCUUUGAGUAGUCAGCUAUCCUUAAAUGCAUUAGUGAGUCAAGUCUUGACGUGCACGGCCUGUCUUUGGUGAUAAAUGAUCCAUUGGUCCGGGCUGGAAGCGUCAUUAGGAAGCUUGCUUUUAUUUUAUUAGCAUGAAAAGUGUUAAUUUAUUUGACAAUUUGACCUCAAAUCAGGUAGGACUACCCGCUGAACUUAA